AUUGAACGCUGGCGGCAGGCCUAACACAUGCAAGUCGAGCGGAUGAAGGGAGCUUGCUCCUGGAUUCAGCGGCGGACGGGUGAGUAAUGCCUAGGAAUCUGCCUGGUAGUGGGGGAUAACGUCCGUAAACGGGCGCUAAUACCGCAUACGUCCUGAUGGAGAAAGUGGGGGAUCUUCGGACCUCACGCUAUCUGCUGAGCCUAGGUCGGAUUAGCUAGUUGGUGGGGUAAAGGCCUACCAAGGCGACGAUCCGUAACUGGUCUGAGAGGAUGAUCAGUCACACUGGAACUGAGACACGGUCCAGACUCCUACGGGAGGCAGCAGUGGGGAAUAUUGGACAAUGGGCGAAAGCCUGAUCCAGCCAUGCCGCGUGUGUGAAGAAGGUCUUCGGAUUGUAAAGCACUUUAAGUUGGGAGGAAGGGCAGUAAGUUAAUACCUGGCUGUCUUGACGUUACCAACAGAAUAAGCACCGGCUAACUUCGUG
rnacentral:rRNA from 1 species